rnacentral:rRNA from 1 species
AUUGAACGCUGGCGGAAUGCUUUACACAUGCAAGUCGAACGGCAGCACGGGUGCUUGCACCUGGUGGCGAGUGGCGAACGGGUGAGUAACAUAUCGGAACGUACCCAGUAAUGGGGGAUAACUAGUCGAAAGAUUAGCUAAUACCGCAUACGCCCUGAGGGGGAAAGCGGGGGACCGUAAGGCCUCGCGUUAUUGGAGCGGCCGAUAUCUGAUUAGCUAGUUGGUGGGGUAAAGGCCUACCAAGGCGACGAUCAGUAGCUGGUCUGAGAGGAUGAUCAGCCACACUGGAACUGAGACACGGUCCAGACUCCUACGGGAGGCAGCAGUGGGGAAUUUUGGACAAUGGGCGCAAGCCUGAUCCAGCCAUUCCGCGUGAGUGAAGAAGGCCUUCGGGUUGUAAAGC